UGGUCCGGAAGGGCAGAGGAAGAGCCCAGACCACUGCUCUCGUGGGGGAUAACGGCGAAGGAGGAGGCAGAGAUGUGGCAGGUCCUGGAGGACCUGCGUAGGGACAGCGUGGAGGAAGAGCCUUGGGUGGCAGAGGUGCGCACGGUAUCGCCAGUGCGCCUGCACAGCCCAGUGCGCUCUGUGCCAGCGCCCCACAUUUGCCGGGCUAGGGGGAGUGUUCAGCGAGGACGUGUUGUGCCGGCUCAGCGCUCCUGGCCUCCAGUGCCCCUUCUCGGUCCGAUGUAUCCUGCGCCGAGGACGCGCACUGUGUCUCCGGUACGGCUACACAGCCCAGUGCGUUCUGUGCCAGCGCUCCACACUUGCCAGGCUAAGGUGGGUGUUGAGCCAGAACGGGUGAUGUCAGCUGUGCACUCCAGACCUCCAGUGCGCCUCCUCGGUCCAGGAUAUCCGGCGCCGCUUAUGCGCACUGUGUCGCCGGUGUGCGGCCCCAGUCCAGUCCGGACCGUCCCUGCUCCCCGCACCAAGCCAGUGGUGUGUGCCCCCAGUCCAGUCCGGCCCGUCCCUGCUCCCCGCACCAGGUUAGUGGUGCGUGUCCCCAGUCCUGUCCGGCCCGUCCCUGCUCCCCGCACCAGGUUAGUGGUGCGCGUCCCCAGUCCAGUCCGGCCCGUCCCUGCUCCCCGCACCAAGCCAGUGGUGUGUGCCCCCAGUCCAGUCCGGCCCGUCCCUGCUCCCCGCACCAGGUUAGUGGUGCGUGUCCCCAGUCCUGUCCGGCCCGUCCCUGCUCCCCGCACCAAGCCAGUGGUGUGUGCCCCCAGU
rnacentral:lncRNA from 1 species